GCUCUCAACUCAACCUAAUCCACUACACAGAGCACUCCUCACCAUAGGGAUGGGAUUGGAGCUAAAGCUCCUAUAUAUAAACUGUGGAAAAUGCUCUUUGGCCAACCUAGCAGCUUGUUUUUACCACAUUGAACCUUCUUCAAGGGAUCUCCUAUCACAAAGGUUGGGUUCCCACUGCAGGAAGGCCCUUUACGGGCAAAGUCCCAUCCCCCUCGAUGAUUCCAGGACCUUAGUCCUAUUCAGGCCUUUCGUCAAGCAAUCUGCAAGAUUCUGAUCAGAUUUGAUAAAACUCAAAGAAAUAAUAUCAUGAGAGGUUAGCCAUCUUACAGACUUUUGUCUCAGUUUAAUAUAAAUGUUAACUUUAGAAUUUAUAAAUUUUAUUUUUCCUAUUAUUUCAGCAAUUUUUAAAAUCUAUUUGCUGCAUAGAUAUUAUUUGAUUGCAUAUGUUAUUUGCUCGAAAUUACCUAAUUGAAAUCAAUUUUUUUUUUUAAAAAAAAAUUGUUUGGUCCAUCUUUUGCUGUUGAAUCAAACUCUAUUCAACAUGAUUAAAUUUCAUGAUUUUAAAAUUUUAGUAUAUCUCUGAAAUUGUGGGGGAAGCUCUUUUAGCAGUUUGAUAAAUUUUGAUAUUAUAAUUGCUCUCAUGUUUUCAUUUUGUCUAUCAUUUAAAUUUGUUGGUGAAAACUCAAAAAUUUAAAGUUUGAAUUUUAUUCUAUUUGAAUUUUGAAUUAUCAUUUAAUAUUCAUUGAUAUUUAUUAUCUUAUUUAUUUAUUUAUUUAAUUUCUUAGUGAGAAAGGAACUAACGGAAUAUUUCCGUUCCGUUUCUUGCGCCAAGAGGAACUCAGUUCCGUUGUGCGGUUCCGCUUCUUUCUCGUAAGAAAAAGAGCGUGAAUUCUCUUUCCUUUUCUUCGAUACUUUGAUCUCCUUUUUUCCUCCUCAUUGAAAAAUGAGAUUUAGAUAAUUUUGUUAAUUUUUAUCUAUUCAUCUCUUAAUUAUCUUUUACUAUUUGAAUAUUCUUCUUAUCUACUGGGUGUUGAGAAUCUCUGUCAACCUCCUUCACGAUCGUGCUCGCAGAAUGAGGAAUUCUGGUCAUACCUUGGGGUGUUAUUUCUGAUUAAUACCGCACGUAAGGACGGGAAUACGCCUUAGGGCAGUGUAUCGCACGCUUCCGGAUAAGAUCAAAUCUUUAUUGGAAUAUUUGCGUUUAUCUGUAAGUUUAUUUAUUUAUUGUUAUCACAAAUUUAGUUAGAUUUUAAUUGCAAUCAGAUUCCUAUGCGAUAUUUGUUCCAACAAUCUAAGGCGUAUAUCCCUAUCUGAUUGUGAUUAAUGAUCUAACCAAUUGUAUGUUUGUUUGUUUUUAUUUUU
rnacentral:lncRNA from 1 species